UGAACGCUGGCGGCGUGCCUAAUACAUGCAUGUCGAACGCAUUGUGGUUGAAAUGAUAUGAAGAACUUGUUCAGAUUUGAUUUUCAACAUUGCAAUGAGUGGCGAACGGGUGAGUAACACGUGGGAAACCUACCUCUUAGCAGGGGAUAACAUUUGGAAACAAAUGCUAAUACCGUAUAAUAAUUAAAACCGCAUGGUUUUAGUUUAAAAGAUGGUCUUGCUAUCACUAAGAGAUGGUCUCGCGGUGUAUUAGUUAGUUGGUGAGGUAAUGGCUCACCAAGACAAUGAUACAUAGCCGAGUUGAGAGACUGACCGGCCACAAUGGGACUGAGACACGGCCCAUACUCCUACGGGAGGCAGCAGUAGGGAAUCUUCCACAAUGGACGAAAGUCUGAUGGAGCAACGCCGCGUGUGUGAUGAAGGGUUUCGGCUCGUAAAACACUGUUGUAAGAGAAGAAUGACAUUGAGAGUAACUGUUCAAUGUGUGACGGUAUCUUACCAGAAAGGAACGGCUAAAUACGUGCCAGCAGCCGCGGUAAUACGUAUGUUCCAAGCGUUAUCCGGAUUUAUUGGGCGUAAAGCGAGCGCAGACGGUUAUUUAAGUCUGAAGUGAAAGCCCUCGGCUCAACCGAGGAAUUGCUUUGGAAACUGGAUAACUUGGGUGCAGUAGAGGAAAGUGGAACUCCAUGUGUAGCGGUGAAAUGCGCAGAUAUAUGGAAGAACACCAGUGGCGAAGGCGGCUUUCAGGACUGUAACUGACGUUGAGGCUCGAAAGUGUGGGUAGCAAACAGGAUUAGAUACCCUGGUAGUCCACACUGUAAACGAUGAGUGCUAGUUGUUCGAGGGUUUCCGCCCUUGAGUGAC
rnacentral:rRNA from 1 species